rnacentral:rRNA from 1 species
GAUGAACGUUGGCGGCGUGCCUAAUACAUGCAAGUCGAACGGAGACGGUAGCAAUACGGUCUCAGUGGCGAACGGGUGAGUAACGCGUUGGUGACCUGCCCCGAAGUGUGGAAUAACAGAUCGAAAGAGCUGCUAAUACCGCAUAAUAUCCAGAGGAUUAGAUGCCUUUGGAUUAAAGGAUUUAUUCGCUUCGGGAGGGGCCUGCGUCCCAUCAGCUAGUUGGUAAGGUAAUGGCUUACCAAGGCGAUGACGGGUAGGGGACCUGAGAGGGUGGCCCCCCACAAUGGAACUGAAACACGGUCCAUACACCUACGGGUGGCAGCAGUAGGGAAUAUUAGUAAUGGGCGAAAGCCUGAACUAGCAACGCCGCGUGUGCGAAGAAGGCCUUCGGUUGUAAAGCACUUUUUGUAGAGGAGUGAGGAAGGAACGGUACGUCUCAGAAUAAGUACUCGGCUAACUACGUGCCAGCAGCCGCGGUAAACUAAGUCUAGG